CUGCCUCUCCUACCUCUCCUUCCACCUCCUCUAACUCUCCUGCUUCUACCACCCCUGAGAUGGCAAGACCAACCUCUCGUCAGCCUAUUCAACGUGAAGACAAUAAGGAGGAAGACCUUAUGAGGACCUACGUCCAAUCAAUAAAUACUUGCGGGAGGUUCUGGAAUCCCAUGGUUGUUAAUCUCUGGAGGCUUCACCAUCCUUUGUGGGUUCCUUUAAUUAUCUUCAUUGCCUCAAAAGCUUAAUUUCUGAGCAGUUGUUGAAUUAUCCAGAGGCUGAAGGCUGAGGCAGC
rnacentral:lncRNA from 1 species